GUCAAUAAACCACGAACCUAAAGGUUCGGAGCUUGUAAAAGCUCUUAUUGAUUAGACUAAGUUCUUCGAGAACUACGUUAUUUGGGUCAUGAUACCUACGGAUAUUUAGCCAAGUCUGUAGCACUAUCGUAUAGUAUUAAACAAUUCUGAUGGGUAGGAAUAGUGUGCUAUACCUAACAAGCCUUUAUAACAUUGUCUAUGGCUACUCAC
rfam:Clostridium formicaceticum strain ATCC 27076, complete genome.